GUGCUUGUUUCAGCAACACAUACUAAAAUUGGAACAAUACAGGGAAGAUUAGCAUGGCCCCAGCACAAGGAUGACAUGCAAAUCUGAGAAACGUUCCAUAUUUUU